rnacentral:rRNA from 1 species
GACAACGCUGGCGGCGUGCCUAAUACAUGCAAGUCGAGCGGAAUGAUGAAGAAGCUUGCUUCUUCUGAUUUUAGCGGCGGACGGGUGAGUAACACGUGGGCAACCUACCUUGUAGAUUGGGAUAACUCCGGGAAACCGGGGCUAAUACCGAAUAAUCCAUUUUGCUUCAUGGCGAGAUGUUGAAAGACGGUUUCGGCUGUCACUAUAAGAUGGGCCCGCGGCGCAUUAGCUAGUUGGUAGGGUAAUGGCCUACCAAGGCGACGAUGCGUAGCCGACCUGAGAGGGUGAUCGGCCACACUGGGACUGAGACACGGCCCAGACUCCUACGGGAGGCAGCAGUAGGGAAUCUUCCACAAUGGACGAAAGUCUGAUGGAGCAACGCCGCGUGAGUGAAGAAGGUUUUCGGAUCGUAAAACUCUGUUGUAAGGGAAGAACACGUACGAGAGUAACUGCUCGUACCUUGACGGUACCUUAUUAGAAAGCCACGGCUAACUACGUG